rnacentral:lncRNA from 1 species
GUAAUUUUGAGUUAAAAGUUGUAACCCAUGGGUUAGUUAAUUUCUUUCUACAUGUAAGCCUUGCUUAAUCUGCUUAAUAUAACUCCUAACACAUGCAUGGUUAAUGUUCUCCAGAGGGAUACGAUUCAUUUGACUCGGAUGCGAAUAUCACCAUCAAAUGGGAUAUUAUGGCAUGGACUGCUGAUGGCUAUGUGGUAAGCAUUUUUAUCUAUUAUCUAUUAUUAAUGUUUUCCUUAGGUUUUUGCUAUGUGAUAUAUACUUACUGUUGAUUGAGGUUUUUAUGGGAUAUUAGGCUUGGGAUCUGUCAUUUUAAUGGUUUAGUGAGCCACAAAUAAUUGGGUUUCUGGGUUUUUAUUUUGAUGGUUUUUCAAUCGAGUUUCUGGUAUUCAUGCAGAAAAUUGCAUAAAUCCGUCCUCUUACUAAAACCAUGCUCUUAUAAAUUAUAAUUUUGUGGGAGAUUUGAAUGAGUUUCAAAUUGAGGACAGUAAUAUGGGUAUGUGGGUACGAUUUUUUGGAAGAGCUGAAUGGCCUUGAUGGAGUUGGGGCUGUUUACGGAGAGAGGCUGGUGUGGUGGGCUUGGGGGCUGAGGGAGAAGGUUAGGGAAGUGGGGGAAGAGGUGUCAAAAGGGACAGGCUGGCCCAGCCUGUUUAAAUGAGGCACACAAAUAUCGAUGGGCUGUGCUCGGCACAACACAAAAACUUGGGCCGAGCCAGGAUAAAAAAUGAUGUCUAAUGGAUCGGGCUGGCCCACGGCCCGACAUGGGCCUGGCUUGGCCUGAGCCCGCUUCAAGCACAGCCCACUUUACUUUUUUUUUCUUUCUCCAAAGUCAAAAUACAAAAAUUUGACAUCUAAUAUCAUUGUUUAUAUGAUUUUUUUUAUUUUGUAAUCAUAAACAUAUAUUUGAUGUCUUUCAUUUUAGGGAAAUUACUAGGAUCCUUAAUUAAUUAAACAUAUCAACUACAAAUUAAUUAAACAACAUUGGACUUGAUAUCUAAUCAGUACAUACGACAAUACGCUUCUCUUAUAAUCAAAGCCAGACAUUUCUUCACAUUUCUUCACAUAUAAAAUAAUAAGUUGUUUAAAGAUGAAAAGUUGAAGUGGACUUUGUGGAGUUGGACAAUUUUUGCCCUCCGCCCUUUUAUAUCGUUUAAAUAUUUGGUUGAUUAAUGUUUUCAAAUAGUUCAUCAUUUCUUGCCUCUAAUUAUAUUUUUAAUGUUUAUAAUUUGAAUUAUCUAGUGGAAAAAAAAAAUUGAGUGAAAAAAUUCAAAUUAAAUAUGUUGGUUCUUGGGCCCAAGUAUGGUACGAGCACAAGCACGGGCACGACACAAGCCCGGCCCGGCCCGUUUCAAUGAGGACAUGAGCUUUGGGUCCGGCGGGAUCAAUGAUUUUACUAAAUGGGCCGGCAUGGCGUAGCCCGAUAAAUUAAAUGGACUGGCCCGGCAUGAAACGAAAACGUUAAAAGUACGAGUAUAAAUGGGACGGGCCGGCCCGACACGGCCCAUUUGACACCUCUAAGUAGGGGUGCUUGGGUUUUUUUUUUUAUUUAUUAAAAGUUUUUCUUUUUGCAAAGAAUUUAUUAAAAGUUUAAUUUCGGAGUUAAUGGGUGGACAAGAGUCAAACAACUAGAGAGGGAACAUAGAAAUGACAUCAAACUGGGGACAACAGAUCUGCUCCCCCAAAACAGUGUUGUGGUUUUGUUGGGUUAUAUUUUUGUGGGCCUGGGUUGGGCUUUAGUUCAUUUCAAUUCUCUUUUAAUCAAUUAGAAUUUUGUAUUAAUUUAUAAUAAUAAAAAGUUAUCUGUAUUUAUGUUAUUUUAGGAUAUUUCAUUAGGCUUGGGAUCUGUCAUUUUAAUGGUUUAGUGAGCCACAAAUAAUUGGGUUUCUGGGUUUCUAUUUUGAUGGUUUUUCAAUCGAGUUUCUGGUAUUCAUGCGGAAAAUUGCAUAAAUCCGUCCUCUUACUAAAACCAUGCUCUUAUAAAUUAUAAUUUUGUGGGAGAUUUGAAUGAGUUUCAAAUUGGGGGACAGUAAUAUGGGUAUGUGGGAACGAUUUUUUGGAAGAGCUGAAUGGCCUUGAUGGAGUUGGGGCUGUUUACGGAGAGAGGCUGGUGUGGUGGGCUUGGGGGCUAAGGGAGAAGGAUAGGGAAGUGGGGGAAGAGGUGUCAAAAGGGACAGGUCGGCCCAGCCUGUUUAAAUGAGGCACACGAAUAUCGAUGGGCUGUGCUCGGUACGACACAAAAACUUGGGCCGAGCCAGGAUGAAAAAUGAUGUCCAAUGGAUUGGGCUGGCCCACGGCCCGACAUGGGCCUGGCUUGGCCUAAGCCCUCUUCAAGCACGGCCCAAGCCCAAGCCCGCUUCAAGCACGGCCCACUUUACUUUUUUUUUCUUUCUCAAAAGUCAAAAUACAAAAAUUUGACAUCUAAUAUCAUUGUUUAUAUGAUUUUUUUUUUAUUUUUUGUAAUCAUAAACAUAUAUUUGAUGUCUUUCAUUUUAGGGAAAUUACUUGGAUCCUUAAUUAAUUUAACAUAUCAACUAUAAAUUAAUUAAACAACAUUGGACUUGAUAUCUAAUCAGUACAUACGACAAUACGCUUCUCUUAUAAUCAAAGCAAGACAUUUCUUCACAUAUAAAAUAAUAAGUUGUUUAAAGAUGAAAAGUUGAAGUGGACUUUGUGGAGUUGGACAAUUUUUGCCCUCCGCCCUUUUAUAUUGUUUAGAUAUUUGAUUGAUUAAUGUUUUCAAAUAGUUCAUCAUUUCUUGCCUCUAAUUAUAUUUUUAAUGUUUAUAAUUUGAAUUAUCUAGUGGAAAAAAAAAUCGAGUGAAAAAAUUGAAAUUAAAUAUGUUGGUUCUUGGGCCCAAGUAUGGUACGAGCACAAGCACGGGCACGACACAAGCCCGGCCCGGCCCGUUUCAAUGAGGACAUGUGCUUUGGGUUCGGCGGGAUCAAUGAUUUUACUAAAUGGGCCGGCACGGCAUAGCCCGAUAAAUUAAAUGGACUGGCCCGGCAUGAAACGAAAACGUUAAAAGUACGAGUAUAAAUGGGACGGGCCGGCCCGACACGGCCCAUUUGACACCUCUAAGUGGGGGUGCUUGGGUUUUUUUAUUUUAUUUUAUUAAAAGUUUUUCUUUUUGCAAAGAAUUUAUUAAAAGUUUAAUUUCGGAGUUAAUGGGUGGACAAGAGUCAAACAACUAGAGAGGGAACAUAGAAAUGACAUCAAACUGGGGACAACAGAUCUGCUCCCCCAAAACAGUGUUGUGGUUUUGUUGGGUUAUAUUUUUGUGGGCCUGGGUUGGGCUUUAGUUCAUUUCAAUUCUCUUUUAAUCAAUUAGAAUUUUGUAUUAAUUUAUAAUAAAAAAAAGUUAUCUGUAUUUAUGUUAUUUUAGGAUAUUUCAUUAGGCUUGGGAUCUUCAUUUUAAUGGUUUAGUGAGCCACAAAUAAUUGGGUUUCUGGGUUUCCAUUUUGAUGGUUUUUCAAUCGAGUUUCUGGUAUUCAUGCGGAAAAUUGCAUAAAUCCGUCCUCUUACUAAAACCAUGCUCUUAUAAAUUAUAAUUUUGUGGGAGAUUUGAAUGAGUUUCAAAUUGGGGGACAGUAAUAUGGUAUGUGGGUACGAUUUUUUGGAAGAGCUGAAUGGCCUUGAUGGAGCUGGGGCUGUUUACGGAGAGAGGCUGGUGUGGUGGGCUUGGGGGCUGAGGGAGAAGGUUAGGGAAGUGGGGGAAGAGGUGUCAAAAGGGACAGGCCGGCCCAGCCUAUUUAAAUGAAGCACACGAAUAUCGAUGGGCUGUGCUCGGUACGACACAAAAACUUGGGCCGAGCCAGGAUAAAAAAUGAUGUCCAAUGGAUUGGGCUGGCCCACGGCCCGACAUGGGCCUGGCUUGGCCUGAGCCCACUUCAAGCACGGCCCGAGCCCAAGCCCGCUUCAAGCACGGCCCACUUUACUUUUUUUUUCUUUCUCAAAAGUCAAAAUACAAAAAUUUGACAUCUAAUAUCAUUGUUUAUUUGAUUUUUUUAAUUUUUUGUAAUCAUAAACAUAUAUUUGACAUCUAAUAUCACUAUAUAAUUACCAGCGCUAUCAACACAUCCGAGCCCCUGAAUGGUCAAUUGGAUGGACCUGGCCAAAAAAAGGAAGUCAUUUGGUCUAUGCUUGGAGCGGAAGCAACGGAGAUAGGGAAUUGUUCAUCUUUUAAAGAUGCAAUCCUUGUUGAAAAGUAAAUUGCUUACUAAUUUCUUGUUAGUAAAUGAUUUACCUCUUAGAUUUUUCCCUUGUCCUUUUGUGUAAUUGCUUUCUGUUGUAAUAGCUUGAGCUCAUACGCCAAGUGUAGGGUCUUAGAUCAGCUCUCAUCUUCAAUGGCUCACAUGCCUUGUAAGUGCCAUGUGUCAUAAUCACAAUGGCUCAUGUAUUUGAGUGGUUGUGAUGACUGAUGUAAGG